rnacentral:lncRNA from 1 species
GUUUCCAGAGGCCAAAAUGAAAGCUUUCUGUGGGAAAUUUUACUCUCUAAUUACAGAUGGAGCCUUGCUCUGUUGCCCAGGCUGGAGUGCAGUGGUGUGAUCUCGGCUCACUGCAAGCUCUGCUUCCCGGGUUCAUGCCAUUCUCCUGCCUCAGCCUCCCGAGUAGCUGGGACUACAGGCGCCCGCCACCACGCCUGGCUGAUUUUUUUGUAUGUUUUUAGUAGAGACGGGGUUUCACCAUGCUAGCCAGGAUGGUCUCGAUCUCCUUAUCUUGUGAUCCACCUGCCUCGGCCUCCCAAGAGCUGGGAUUACAGGCGGAGCCACCGCGCCCGGCCAUAAGUUACCAUUAUUAUGCUCAUUUUACAGGCACUCUUACCUGGUGGAGAGAAAACUACGCUGGGAAUAAAGAAGCAGAAAUCCAUUCUCAGUUUUUUCUCUUUUUUUGUUACAUUGCUUUGCCUUAGAAUUAUUAUGUUAGACAUUUACUGUGAAAAUUCAUCUUGUUUCUAAAAUUUCAGUAUAAAUGUAACACAAGUUAUAGCACCUCAUGAUAUAAAAUAAAUAUCAGACAUAUUCAUUGAUCAUUUAAGUGCUAUAAGAUUCUCUAAUUAUGUUUAAAAAUGGCUGAUUUAGAAAUAUAAACAUUUGUUUUAAAGCCCAGACUGUUAUUUGAUCUGAUUCUGAAUCUAGUUCUUUUUUGUGCUUAAAAAUACAGUUUGAUUUGGUUUUAGUUUUCAAAGGAGAACAUUAAAUUGAAGGUGACAUUGUCUGGAGCAUUUUUCUCUUGCCAAAGAGAGAGUAUAUGGACGAAGAGCGCAGGGAAGGCUUACACGACAGCAGUAAUUUCUAUCUGGUAUAAUAUCCCUGCAUUCAAAGAGCAAUGAGUUGUGCUUUUAGUGCAUUAGAAGACUCGUCCCCACAGGCAUGGAUAAAAAUGCAAAAGAUCUUUCCACUUGCACUUGUAUUUGGGAUUGUUUGGCAUCAGAAUACUGAGACAAGUGAGAAAGAUAUUAAGUUUGGAAUGUGGUCCCUAUCUGCCCUCGAAUUUCACAUUCACUACUCUUUUUUAAAAGCCCCCAUAAGAGACCAUUUCCAUAUUAUUCCUCUUUAUGCUAAACUUGAAUAGUCAAAUAUGACUAUUUGAAGUGUGGUCUUCAAAUAUAAGAACCCAACCUGGAAUUCAAACACAAUUGUAUAAUAAUCUUUGGGCAGAAUAGAAUGCAGCAAACUUUCAAUGAAUUGAAACACCUGCUUUACAGAUACCCCAUGGAGGACAAGACAUACACAUGUGAGCAAUUCAACAAAUUUAACAAGACCCAAUGAGCCUUGAAACUGUAAUUUAAUUCUUAAUUUCUAUGAAGUAAAUUUAGUAAUGACUGAUAAGGAUCAUCAUCAUCCACACUUAGAGAGUCAUUAACAGGAAAGUAGAAACACCUGUCCUUUUAUGUAAGGCACUCUGUUCACUUUAUCUGAGAUUUGGAGCUGCUGUCCCUUGUAUGAGAGCAAUAAAAGAAGAUUCCAGGGUUAAAGUUAUCCUAAAAAUAAAAUUCCAUACACAAAGCAUGAUGAUCAUUAAAAUCAAAUUUCAUAGCUACAAUGCUAAGGUUAACAAAUGCUUCAUAACCUGUUGUAUGGCCAGGGAUGAAUAGGCCUAGUAUGAUCUAUAUCCCCUUGGGUGAUAGUUGCUUACAUAAUGAUAGUUACAAAGAAUAGAUUUGCUUUACACAGUUGAGUUCCAGGAUAAAAUCAUGUUCUUGUAUUGGGUUUUCUUUUUUGCCAUCACAAUGAACCCCUGAGCAUUCUUUCUCUAAAAUUAAUGUUUUACUGUAAGGUUUUGUUGUUUUGUUAGACAAAGAUACUGACCAUAUUCAGAGUUCCUUAAGCCCAUAAUUGUAAGUUGAAGACUGAGAAAACUAUUCUAAUAUUGACAUUUAAUACUUAUUAGUAAAGUGAAAGAGCAAUAUUAUAAUACCCAUUUUCCUUGUCAUUUAUUUAACGUGAUUUCUCAUUUCCAUGUAAAUGCUUGAUAAAAGUUCUAACC